AUUUUCAGGCCUUUCAAGCUUCAUUUAUUUAUUUAUUUAUUUUUUUCUAAUCCGAUUUUCCUUUGCCUGGCAUUGUUUUUAUGGAAGAUUAUAAGAAGCUAAGUGUUCAAUUGGGGGUUCUUUGGAUCUGUGGUUUUUUAUAUUCAUCUGGGCAUUCCUUAUUAUCUUCUUUUGUGAUGUUUUGCCAGUUUUGCGGUGGUUUUGAUGAGUUCUUGGUCGAUUGGGAAAUGGGUUUUCAGUAUAGUUGGAAUUGAAUUUUAUUGCGUCCAAUGAAGACGUAUAUAAGCUCUAUUAUGUGGUUUAUAUUUCUUUUUCAGUUUAUAUUUCUGCUAAAUCUGAGAUGGGGUUGCUCUCCAUAAAUUUGGGUGCACCAGUAGUAUUCCUCUUGGCCUUUUGGAUAAUAAACUGCAAACCAUUUCAUCAAGAAGAACCAUUACAAAAAGUCAUCCUGAAUAAUAGAAGACAACCACGCAGGGCCCUCUUCCACUCAUGUUUCGUUUCAAGACAAUGACAGUGAGUGAGGAGCAAGCUCAUCAGCAGCUCUAUUACGCUCCCUAGGACCAUAAGAACAAGUGAAAUUGCCAAGUUUACGAAAUGUGAAAGAAAGUUUCCAUAUUGGAGUCUUGCUCGUUUCUAGUUUUCUGAUUUUCUGGUGGAAUAUUAGUUCAUGACAAUUUGUAAAAUGUAGUGCAGUGUGCAGAUGUUAGUGUCAGAUGGUUGGAAUUGUUGGGUAAACUGUGUGUGUUUGUGCUAGUUUGUCUACUAUGGCUUUAUGGCUUUAAGUUAUUUAGUGUGGUUGUGUUUUUAUCCCUUC